UUGGGUUUAAAGUGCACGUAGGCGGACAUUUUAAGUCAGGGGGUGAAAUCCCCGGGGCUCAACCUCGGAACUGCCUUUGAUACUGGGUGUCUGGAGUGUGGAAGAGGUGAGUGGAAUUCCGAGUGUAGAGGUGAAAUUCGUAGAUAUUCGGAGGAACACCAGUGGCGAAGGCGGCUCACUGGUCCACAACUGACGCUGAGGUGCGAAAAGCGUGGGGAGCAAAACAGGAUUAGAUA
rnacentral:rRNA from 1 species